rnacentral:rRNA from 1 species
CCUACGGGAGGCAGCAGUAGGGAAUCUUCCCCAAUGGACGAAAGUCUGAUGGAGCAACGCCGCGUGAGCGAUGAAGGCCUUCGGGUCGUAAAGCUCUGUUGUCAGGGAAGAACAAGUAUCGGAGUAACUGCCGGUACCUUGACGGUACCUGACCAGAAAGCCACGGCUAACUACGUGCCAGCAGCCGCGGUAAU